rnacentral:lncRNA from 1 species
CAUCUAAAUACUUGUAAGGAUCUUCAUUGAUGUUCUCAUAGAAAGAUGGGAGCAUCUAGAUUGUGGUUGACUUGAUCUCAUAAUGGCUUGUAGGAAUAUUAGAUAAGUAGAUAUAAGUUGAUGGAUUAUAGGUGGAAGGAAUAAAAUAUUUUUUCAUCUGCUUAGGUGGUUCUCUAGGAUUUUCAGCCAUUUGAUUGUUAGGUUUAACAUUGAUCAGUCAUUCAAUUUCAGGAUUAGAUUCAACUAGGUCAAAAAAAAGAGAUCUCCUACUGUGCAUGUAUCAGUGCAAAUCCUACUGUGUGUGGUUCAGAUUUUUUUUGAAGGAAGAGAGAGA